rnacentral:rRNA from 1 species
AUGGCAGUCUUCCAUGCUUUCUAUCAUCUCGCGGGAGGAGAUUUUGCUGCUCUGAAUCGCGCCAUGAUCAUCCUCCUACCAAAGAAAGACGGCGCAACAAAACUGUCUGAUUUCCGCCCAAUUAGUCUCAUCCACUCGGUGGCUAAACUGAUCGCAAAGGUGCUUUCAAUCAGACUCGGGGGUGUGCUUGAU